UGUAUUUUUCAGUGGUGACCC
rnacentral:siRNA from 1 species